UAUCAUCAUAUUUGUUUAUCUAAAAUUUGGGAAUGAAAUAGGAACUUAAAAGUAGAAACUUAUACUCAUGAAAAGAAUUUUGUUAGUCUUUUUUUCCUAAUAAGAAGGAUCAUCUAGUAAGGUCACUCUUCUGAACUUCAUAUGCUUCCGUUUUUAUUUGCCCUUGUUUAGUUUAGUCCCAUGAAAAACUCAAGGGCCACAAAGUUGGCCAAAGUCGGUUUUAGAAGGUUUGAUGUUUGACUUCAUGCAGAUGAAUUUAGAAGGGAAAAAGGGUUUACGGAAAAGGAAUUCCUCUAUUAACUUGCUUGAUGUAUAAGCAUGUAUUCUCUAAAUAGAUCUUUGUUUUCAAAAGUAUUUUAAAGCUUCUUUGGGUUUUAUCCCCUUUAAGUAAAAUGUAGUGAUUACAGCAAUUUUAGGUUAGAUGUAAGGAGUUGAAUAUCUGUUAGUUUCUGUGGAUUGCAGUAUGAUGGGUAUUUUUGGCAUGUUAGAGCAGAACUGAAGGUUGAGAGCAGGCUGUUGAUUUCUCUGUAGGCAUUGUGCUGAUGUUGUACAUGAAACCAAAGGAAAAUUCCAGAAGGUGAAGAGGAUGCUUCUGCACGCAGAUCUGAUUGUGAAGGGAAUAAAAGCAAAUCACUUGUGUGGGUCAAAAUCUAAUGCACUCCUGUCUUAAGUAUUCACAUGCACUGAAGAGUACUGUGGCUUAUAUUGGAUGGAUAGCUUUGCAGUUCUCUA
rnacentral:lncRNA from 1 species